ACAAAAUCCCUCAUUGCUUGUAGUAGUUAUGGUGAUUUUUCUCGCAGUGGUUAUGGUGUGGAUCACGGUACUAGCAUUGUAUUCCAACCAAGAACACGCUCCUAGACUCUGGUUACCCUGGGACUAUGGCCCCUGGAGUGCAUUUCCGGUUACAAACUCCAUUUCUGCAUCUUGGAUGUUAAAAACUAUGUCUGGCCCUUUAACUCUGCUGGGAAAGAAUCUGUUAUUUUAAAACCGGUGUGACCAACUGCCCUGUUCCUCUGGCUUUCCAUGUGCCAAACUGCCCUG